CCUACGGGUGACAGCAGUAGGGAAUAUUGCUCAAUGGGGGAAACCCUGAAGCAGCAACGCCGCGUGGAGGAUGAAGGUUUUAGGAUUGUAAACUCCUUUUGUUAGAGAAGAUUAUGACGGUAUCUAACGAAUAAGCACCGGCUAACUCCGUGCCAGCAGCCGCGGUAAUACGGAGGGUGCAAGCGUUACUCGGAAUCACUGGGCGUAAAGAGUGCGUAGGCGGGGUAAUAUGUCAGAUGUGAAAUCCUGUAGCUUAAAUACAGACCUGCAUUUGAAACUGUUACUCUGGAGUGUGGGAGAGGUAGGUGGAAUUCUUGGUGUAGGGGUAAAAUGCGUAGAGAUCAAGAGGAAUACUCAUUGCGAAGGCGACCUGCUGGAACAUUACUGACGCUGAUGCACGAAAGCGUGGGGAGCAAACAGGAUUAGAUACCCCUGUAGUC
rnacentral:rRNA from 1 species